CAACUCGCCUGCAUGAAGCUGGAAUUGCUAGUAAUCGCGGAUCAGCAAGCCGCGGUGAAUACGUUCCCGGGCCUUGUACACACCGCCCGUCACACCAUGAGAGUCGGGAACACCCGAAGUCCGUAGUCUAACCGCAAGGGGGGCGCGGCCGAAGGUGGGUCCGGUAAUUGGGGUGAAGUCGUAACAAGGUAUC
rnacentral:rRNA from 1 species